rnacentral:rRNA from 1 species
ACACACGCAAGCCGAACUUUUAGGCCCUGCAUUUGUGGGGUGCUCAAGUGGCCAACCGCUGAGUAACACAAGAGUAACCUGCCCAUGACUUUGGCAUCACCUCAGGAAACUGGGGCUAAUACCGGAUAUGAGCUCCUGCUGCAUGGCGGGGCUUGGAAAGUUUCAGCAGUUGACGGAUGCACUCCCCUCCUAUCAGCUAGUAGCUGGGGUAGCGGCUUACCAAGGCUCUGACGGAUAGCCGGUCUGAAAAGGUGACCGGCCUCAUUGGGACUGAGAUACGGCCCCUACUCCUACGGGAGGCAGCAAAGGGGAAUAUUGCUCACUGGCGCGGAAGCCUGAUGCAGCAACGCCCCGUGCGCGAUGACCGCCUUCGGGAUGUAAACCGCUUUCGCCUGUGACGAAUCCUGAGUGACGGAAAUGGGCAAACAAUCACCCGCUAACUACGCGCCACCAUCCGCGGUGAUACGUAGGGUGCGAGCGCCGUCCCGAUAUUAUUGGGCGUAAAGGGCUCGUACGUGGUUGAUCGCGACGGAAGUGUAAUCUUGGGGCUUACCCCUGAGCGUGCUUUCGAUACGGGUUGACUUGAGGAAGGUACGCGAGAAUGGAAUUCCUGGUGGAGCGGUGGAAUGCGCAGAUAUCAUGAGGAACACCAGUGUGCGAACGUGGUUCUCUGGGUCUUUCCUGACGCUGAGGAGUGCAAGCGCGCCGAGCGAACAGGCUUAUAUACCCUGGUAGUCCCCGCUGUAAACAGAGAGGACUAGGUGUGGGGUCCUUUCCACGACUUCCGUGCCGAACUUAACGAUUUAAGUAUCCCCCCUGGGGAGAACAGCCGCAAGGUUAAAAUUCAAAGGAAUUGACGGGGCCCCCCCCAACCGGCGGACCAUGCGGAUUAUUUCAAUGCACCGCGAAAAACCUUACCUGGCUUUGACUUGCAUCGGCAGCGCUCAAAAAUGGGCGUGCCUCUUUUGCGUUCGGUACACAGGUGGCGCAUGGUUGCCCUCCUCUCGUGUCGAGAUAUGUUGGGUUAAGUCCCGCAACGAGCGCCCCCCUUGUUCACUGUUGCCUCCUCGUUAUGGCGCUCACUCAGAGACAGACCGCCGGGGUCCACUCGGAGGAAGGUGGGGAUGACGUACCGUCAUCCUGCCUCUUAUGUGCGGUGCUUCAGGCAUGCUAUGAUGGCUGGUACAAAUAGUGGCGCGCCUGCGACGGUGAAAUAUUCUAAAACAGCCGGUCUUUCUUAGUGAUGGGUGCUGCCCCUCUACCUCAUGUCGUAGGAGUCGCUAGUCAUCGAUCAUCAGCACCCCUGCAUUGAAUUCCUCCCCGUGCU